UGAACGCUGGCGGCGUGCUUAACACAUGCAAGUCGAACGAGAAAGCUUUAGCUUGCUAAAGUGAGUAAAGUGGCGCACGGGUGAGUAACGCGUGGGUAAUCUGCCUUUGAAUUUGGGAUAACACUUCGAAAGGGGUGCUAAUACCGGAUAACAUCUGUUUACCUAAGGUUAAACAGAUCAAAGAUAGCCUCUACAUGUAAGCUAUUGUUUGGAGAUGAGCCCGCGUACCAUUAGCUUGUUGGUAGGGUAAUGGCCUACCAAGGCGACGAUGGUUAGCUGGUCUGAGAGGAUGAUCAGCCACACUGGAACUGAUACACGGUCCAGACUCCUACGGGAGGCAGCAGUGAGGAAUUUUGCGCAAUGGGGGAAACCCUGACGCAGCAACGCCGCGUGAGUGAUGAAGGAUUUCGGUUCGUAAAGCUCUGUCAAGUGGGAAGAAGUUAUCAUAUAUUAAUAGUAUAUGGUAUUGACGGUACCACUGAAGGAAGCACCGGCUAACUCC
rnacentral:rRNA from 1 species